AGGGAAUAUUGCGCAAUGGGGGGAACCCUGACGCAGCAACGCCACGUGUGGGAAGAAGCAUUUCGGUGUGUAAACCACUGUCGGAAAGGAAUAACGGAAGACUUCGGUCUUUAUGAAUGUACUUUUAGAGGAAGCACCGGCAAACUUCGUGCCAGCAGCCGCGGUAAUACGAGGGGUGCAAGCGUUGUUCGGAAUCACUGGGCGUAAAGGGAGCGUAGGCGGAAGUGCAAGCAAUCUGUAUAAUCCUGGGGCCCAACCCCAGUUCUGCAGAUUGGACUGUAUUUCUUGAAUAGUUCAGAGGCAAGCGGAAUUUCUGGUGUAGCGGUGGAAUGCGUAGAGAUCAGAAAGAACACCAAUGGCGAAGGCAGCUUGCUGGGGACUUAUUGACGCUGAGGCUCGAAAGUGUGGGUAGCAAAC
rnacentral:rRNA from 1 species